GUUGUCUUGUUGUUGCUGAGAUUUUGGGUGUAAAAAUUGUGAACACUUCUCAUUUCUUUCUUUAUAUUGAGAGUCCAUGUCAAGGCGUUGAAAGAAAAUUUUGGGAUUUGUGUGAUGGCACUUGUGAGAUUUUCCCCUUAAAAAUUUAGUUCCUGGCAAUUUUCUUGUUAGUUUCUGGUGGAGAUGAGUUUUUGAUCAUUGCUAUUUUUUGAGUGAUAAUCAUAUGGUUUUGGACUUGGUUUUUAGGAGUGAAGGGAUGUUCUACAUUUGAUAGGGAUUUCCUUAAAAAAGUAUAAAAGAUUUCUAAUCUUUAGUUACAAUGGGAUGAAGAUAUGUUCAUGGGAGUUGGUGAAAAGGGUGAAUUCAGUGUGAAAU
rnacentral:misc_RNA from 1 species